rnacentral:rRNA from 1 species
GACGAACGCUGGCGGCGUGCUUAACACAUGCAAGUCGAACGGAAAGGCCCUGCUUUUGUGUGGUGCUCGAGUGGCGAACGGGUGAGUAACACGUGAGUAACCUGCCCUUGACUUUGGGAUAACUUCAGGAAACUGGGGCUAAUACCGGAUAGGAGCUCCUGCUGCAUGGUGGUGGUUGGAAAGUUUCGGCGGGUGGGGAUGGACUCGCGGCUUAUCAGCUUGUUGGUGGGGUAGUGGCUUACCAAGGCUUUGACGGGUAGCCGGCCUGAGAGGGUGACCGGCCACAUUGGGACUGAGAUACGACCAAGAGUCGUACGGGAGGCAGCAGUGGGGAAUAUUGCACAAUGGGCGGAAGCAUGAUGCAGCAACGCCGCGUGCGGGAUGACGGCCUUCGGGUUGUAAACCGCUUUCGCCUGUGACGAAGCGUGAGUGACGGUAAUGGGUAAAGAAGCACCGGCUAACUACGUG